UUGGAAGGUGCCCGGUCCCAGGCGCUGGUGGAGUCCGGAGGGGAUGUGAAAAAGCCCGGAGACUCUCUCCGCCUCUCCUGCAAAGCCUCCGGGUUAGACUUCAGCAGCUACUGGAUGAACUGGGUGCGCCAGGCUCCCGGGAAGGGACUUGAAUGGGUCGCUACUAUAACGAGCAGUGCGGGUGGUACAUAUUACCCUGAUUCAGUGAAAGGCCGAUUCACCAUCUCCAGGGAUGAUCCCAAGAGUGAGCUGUAUCUGCAAAUGACCGGCCUGAAGCCCGAGGACACCGCCCGGUAUCACUGUGGACAAAUUCUGAGCCCACCCCCAACCUCCCCAGGCAGUUAUCUCAUGGACUGGAUCCGUCUGGCCCCCGGGAAGGGGCUGGAGUGGCUGGCCAGAGCUGCUGCUCAGGGGAGCGCCUACUACGCUGAUUCCGUGAAGGGGCGAUUCACCAUCGCCAGAGACAACGCCAACAGCCUGGUGCAUUUGCAAAUCAGCGGCCUGAGAGCGGAGGACACCGCGCGGUAUUACUGUGUCAGAGACACACAGCCAGCGACCUAG